rnacentral:tRNA from 1 species
GCGGGGGUAGCCAAGUCCGGUCAAAGGCGCAAGGUUGAGGGCCUUGUCUCAUAGGAGUCCGAGGGUUCGAAUCCCUUCCCCCGCA